CUCCCUCGCGGUUCCCAGAAUUCCCAGCAUCUACACAUCAUAGAGUAGUGAUUACUGUAUGAUGUGUAGAUGCUGGGAAUUAUGGGAACCGCGAGGGAG